CUCCUUUAAGAUGAUACCAUGAUCACGAAGGUCCUUUUCCCAGGGCAAGGCUUAUCCAUUGCUCCCCAGAUGUGCUGACCUCUGUGAUUUCCCCAAAUGCAGGAAACUCAGCUGCAUAAGUUGUGGUAGUGGGGGACUUCAUUCAUGCUCUCUCCUG